CUGAUGGGAGACUCUUUGAGUGCCUUAAGUGUCAAGGAGCUAAAACAGGUUGAGAAUCGCCUUGAGAAAGCCAUCUCUAGAAUCAGGUCCAAGAAGCAUGAGUUGCUUCUAGCUGAAAUCGAGAACCUGCAGAAAAGGGAGAUUGAGCUUGAUAAUGAGAGUAUCUAUCUCCGAACCAAGAUAGCAGAAGUGGAGAGGUUUCAACA